UACGUAGGGGGCAAGCGUUGUCCGGAUUUAUUGGGCGUAAAGAGCUCGUAGGUGGUUCGGUAAGUCGGAUGUGAAAUCUCCAGGCUCAACCUGGAGGGGUCAUUCGAUACUGCCGUGACUAGAGGUCGGUAGGGGAGUGUGGAAUUCCUGGUGUAGCGGUGAAAUGCGCAGAUAUCAGGAGGAACACCUAUUGCGAAGGCAGCUCGCUGGGACGUAACUGACGCUGAGACGCGAAAGCGUGGGGAGCAAACAGG
rnacentral:rRNA from 1 species